rnacentral:rRNA from 1 species
GAUGAACGCUGGCGGCGUGCUUAAUACAUGCAAGUCGAACGGACAGGCGCUGCUUUUGCGGGUUGCACGUGAGGCGAACGGGUGUGUAACACGCGUGUAUCCUGUCCUUGUAUUUGGGGUAACAUUUGGAAACUGCGGCUAAUAUAGGAUAGGAGCUCCUGCUGCAUGUUGGGGGUUGGUAAGUGUCGGCGGUUGGGGCUGGACUCGCGGCUUAUGCGCUUGUUGGGCAGGUAGUGGAUUACAAAGCGUUCGACGGAUAGCCGGCCUGAGAGGGUGGCCGGCCACAAGGGGACUAAGAGAGGGCCCAGACUCCUACGGGAGGCAGCAGGGGAGAGUAUUGCACAAUAGGCGGGAGCCAGAGACAGCGACGCCGCGUGCGGGAUGACGGCCUACGAGGUGUGAACCACUGUCGCCGGUGACGAAGCCGGAGUGACGGUAAUGAGUAAAGAAGCACCGGCUAACUACGUG